rnacentral:rRNA from 1 species
AUACGUAGGUGACAAGCGUUAUCCGGAUUUACUGGGCGUAAAGGGCGUGUAGGCGGUCUUGCAAGUCAGAAGUGAAAUUCCUGAGCUCAACUCGGGCGCUGCUUCUGAAACUGCAGGACUUGAGUGCUGGAGGGGAUAGCGGAAUUCCUAGUGGAGCGGUAAAAUGCGCAGAUAUUAGGAAGAACACCGGUGGCGAAGGCAGCUAUCUGGACAGUAACUGACGCUGAGGCGCGAAAGCGUGGGGAGCAAACAGGAUUAGAUACCCUGGUAGUCCACGCUGUAAACGAUGGGUACUAGGUGUAGGAGGUAUCGACCCCUUCUGUGCCGGAGUUAACGCAAUAAGUACCCCGCCUGGGGACUACGGUCGCAAGACUAAAACUUAAAUGAAUUGGCGGGG